rnacentral:lncRNA from 1 species
UAAAUAUAAAUAAUAGAACUUUUCUAUUAUUUCUCUAGGUCCGGAUUUGAAGAAUCUCCCUGAAAUUGGGAAAGGACAGAUCCAAUGCUGACUUUCCAACUAUGGAAGAAUUAUUUGAAAGGUACUCUACUGUGUUAUUGAAAAAGCACCACUAUUGGGAAAAGCUCCGUUCAAAUAUCUAUCCAAGUUUCUAGUUUGAAAUGUUUUCUAAGGGUACGAAAUCGUCCUAUUAAAGGAGAUUCUCCGGAGGACCCCAGUCCUACCUUGAAAUGGAUAAAUGUGAUUUCCCCUGGUGGCAGAUCACAUGUAGAAGAACUAUGUGAUCAGAGGUCUACUUCUCAGAAGAAGACAGAUAAGAACAGACUCCUGGACUUCAUUACCAGACUUCAGUUCAGGCAAAUAUCUGCAGAGCCUGCACAGGGAUGAAGGCCAAAGAGGGUUUGCUAAUGAUGGUGGUCCAAAAGUCCUUAAUGGCAGAGAGGAUGGAGUUGAAGAAG